UGAGUAACACGUGAGUAACCUGCCCUUAACUCUGGGAUAAGCCUGGGAAACUGGGUCUAAUACCGGAUAGGAGCGCCUACCGCAUGGUGGGUGUUGGAAAGAUUUAUCGGUUUUGGAUGGACUCGCGGCCUAUCAGCUUGUUGGUGAGGUAAUGGCUCACCAAGGCGACGACGGGUAGCCGGCCUGAGAGGGUGACCGGCCACACUGGGACUGAGACACGGCCCAGACUCCUACGGGAGGCAGCAGUGGGGAAUAUUGCACAAUGGGCGCAAGCCUGAUGCAGCGACGCCGCGUGAGGGAUGACGGCCUUCGGGUUGUAAACCUCUUUCAGUAGGGAAGAAGCGAAAGUGACGGUACCUGCAGAAGAAGCACCGGCUAACUACGUGCCAGCAGCCGCGGUAAUACGUAGGGUGCGAGCGUUAUCCGGAAUUAUUGGGCGUAAAGAGCUCGUAGGCGGUUUGUCGCGUCUGUCGUGAAAGUCCGGGGCUUAACCCCGGAUCUGCGGUGGGUACGGGCAGACUAGAGUGCAGUAGGGGAGACUGGAAUUCCUGGUGUAGCGGUGGAAUGCGCAGAUAUCAGGAGGAACACCGAUGGCGAAGGCAGGUCUCUGGGCUGUAACUGACGCUGAGGAGCGAAAGCAUGGGGAGCGAACAGGAUUAGAUACCCUGGUAGUCCAUGCCGUAAACGUUGGGCACUAGGUGUGGGGACCAUUCCACGGUUUCCGCGCCGCAGCUAACGCAUUAAGUGCCCCGCCUGGGGAGUACGGCCGCAAGGCUAAAACUCAAAGGAAUUGACGGGGGCCCGCACAAGCGGCGGAGCAUGCGGAUUAAUUCGAUGCAACGCGAAGAACCUUACCAAGGCUUGACAUGUUCUCGAUCGCCGUAGAGAUACGGUUUCCCCUUUGGGGCGGGUUCACAGGUGGUGCAUGGUUGUCGUCAGCUCGUGUCGUGAGAUGUUGGGUUAAGUCCCGCAACGAGCGCAACCCUCGUUCCAUGUUGCCAGCACGUAAUGGUGGGGACUCAUGGGAGACUGCCGGGGUCAACUCGGAGGAAGGUGAGGACGACGUCAAAUCAUCAUGCCCCUUAUGUCUUGGGCUUCACGCAUGCUACAAUGGCCGGUACAAUGGGUUGCGAUACUGUGAGGUGGAGCUAAUCCCAAAAAGCCGGUCUCAGUUCGGAUUGGGGUCUGCAACUCGACCCCAUGAAGUCGGAGUCGCUAGUAAUCGCAGAUCAGCAACGCUGCGGUGAAUACGUUCCCGGGCCUUGUACACACCGCCCGUCAA
rnacentral:rRNA from 1 species